rnacentral:lncRNA from 1 species
AGAGGGAGGGAGCCGAUGGGGGGAGGAGAAGGAGGAGGGAGGAGGAAGGGAGGAGGGGGAGGGGGGAGGGAGAAUCCUUUUGGAAGAGUGAACGUCAGGGAGUAGGCUGGUGAGAAAGCAGAAUUGCCAGGAAGGGCGGGGGCCGCCACGCGUAGAAAGUGGGAAGUUUGAGUGGGCCAGAAAAACCCUCUUUUCCCUUCAGCUGCUGAAAAUAACUCCAGAAUCCGAGCAACAUGAUAUGGCGUAGUUGAUAUGCCAGAUAUUCACCGCCACAGCACCCUGCCCCGCCCUGGGCAAAACUAAACCGAAAAAGAGAAAACCCUCCAGUCUGUUCCUAGUUCCAACGGGUGGCUUUUGCUCUGCCAACUUCUGGAGCAGCCUGACAAGUCCCGGGACGCUUGCACUUCUGUUAGGGCUAUUGCUGAAGAUAUUAGUUGCUCUCCACAAACUGAUGGAAAGGCCCUAUUGCUGAAGACAAUACUUACAUAUCUCACUGAACACAGAGAAGUCAAACUGGUGCCUAACUAGAGCUUUCACUCCUACUGACUGGUGUUCAUGGUACUGGAAGGUUCUCUGCAUACUACCAGAGUAGAAAAGUAACAAUCAACCCAGCUACAAAACCUGCAAUUUUACAAUGAUUGCCUGCCUUCGUGAUAUGCUUGUGCAAUAGUAACACAAACAUUGUGGGAGUAACCAACCACUCUGAUCGGAUUUAAGACCCACUCCAUGAGAUGGAACUCAGAGCUGACACUGCUCAGGUGCCCAAGACUGGAUAGACCAUGGGUCUAGGAGAACACCAAAUAUUAUUGUUCUGCUAAAGGAACA